GGGAAGGUGGCAGAGCUGGUCGAAUGUACCGCCCUCGAAAUGCGGCAGGGUGUAAUAGCCCUCGUGGGUUCGAAUCCCACCCUUCCCGCCA
rnacentral:tRNA from 1 species